UUUAAACAAGGUUUCACAGUUGGCAGAUGG
rnacentral:piRNA from 1 species